CUACCUUCAAGCAUGGCUUGUGUGUUGAGCAUCUGUUCUUUUUAAGAACAUGCUUGAAAUGCAGUGGCGAUGGCGAGUUUGAAGCCCGAGCGUAUGGAGCACUGUCACACGCUGCGGUGGCCCGGCUCACUAUCUUCUGUCAGUUUUGUUAUUAUAACACAAAAAUCU
rnacentral:misc_RNA from 1 species